AUUGACUCGAAGAUGCUAAUCAAGAGCGACCCGCAACCCGUUCCGAUGAAAGCCUCCCAAGCCCGGGUACAACACAAACGCCGGUACCUCAGGUGCCAAGGAACUGCAACAGAGCGAGAGCGCCUUACGCCGAUUGCACCCGAAAUGACUCUCAACAACGGAUAUCUCAGCUCUCGCAUCGAUGAAGAACGUAGUGAAAUGCAAUGCUUGGUGUGAAUUGCAGAAUCCUGUGAACUAUUGAGUCUUUGAAUGUAAGUUGCGCCCAAAGCUAUUAGGCCGAGGGCACGCCUGCCUGGGCGUCACGCAACGUCGCCGCCACCCCACGCGGGGCACGGCGAAUGAUGGCCUCCCGAGGCCUCUAUCCCCCAGCUGGCCGAAAUAACUGCCUAGCGCGAUGGCGGCCAUGAUCCACGGGGACGUUCGAGACCGAACGUGAUCGCACAAUCCCAUGGGGAGGGUCGGACCCCGAAUCCCACGGCGACCCUAGGUCAGGCGGGGCCACCCGCUAAGUUUAAGCAUAUCAAUAAACGGAGGAAUCCACUUUGUGUGUCGGUGAGGGUUCUUUUGUUGAACCUUUGACCCUUUCCCCUGAAAACUAUGCUCUCGGGGAAACCACAGGUCAGGCGGGACUAUCCGCUGAAUUUCACCAUAUCAAUAACGCGAGAACAAUAGCCCCCAAUUGACUCUACAAGGAAAAUCUCCCCUUCUGUUUAUAAAAAAACUAAGGGAAAUUGCGGGGUUGGGUGUGAAUAUGCACAAAUCUGAUGAACUAUUGAAGUCUUUUAAUUGUAAAGUUGCCCAACCUAAUUAGGCGAAGGACACCCGCCCGGAGCUCACACCAGCCACCACCCAAGGGGGCAAGGGAAAGGAAGGCUCCCAGGCUCUUUCCCCACUUGUCGCAAAUAAUAGCCUAUCCGAUGGCGGCCCGUACCUCGAGGAGACUUAGUAUCACAAGGAGUA
rnacentral:sRNA from 1 species